rnacentral:misc_RNA from 1 species
ACACGCACGCACACACACACACACACAGACACAGACACACGCUGACACACGUAAACACGCACCCAUUGCCGUUCUCAUCCAAGCUGUCUAAUCGCUUUUUGUUUUUCUGUUGCUCUUGCCGCACCCCUCCGCACCCCCCCCACCCACGCGCGGGUCUUGCCUCUUCUCUCUUCUUCGGAUUUUCUGCUCUCAUCUCCCCAUCUUUUCUGUCUUCUUGCGUUCCUCCUUGACGGUCUACGAACGCACCAGCUGCUCCGGCAUACACGCAUCAACGGAUCACUACGCACGCUUCCUGCGCCCUUCUCCUGAGUUGGUGUGAUUGUGUUCUCCCUCUCUGUUUCUGGUUCCAGCUCACGCCUGCUGCGCUAAUCGCCUGAUCAUCACCACCUCCACCUCCUUCAUCCGGUGUGUUGCACGUAUCUCUGUUGCGCGUCGUACGCGUCUCGCUCGCUCGCUCGCUCCUUUUCUUUCACGCUGUCUUGGGUGCUUUUCGUUCUGCUUCGCCCCCCUCCCCCCUCCACCCGCUCUCCCCGUCUUCAGCGGCACUGUCACCACCGCCGUUCUUGCCUUCUCUCUUUUACACGCACUCCCCUUCCCCCUUCCCCUCCUUGACAUCCACCUCUCCUCGCCGGGGAAAGCGCGUGUAGGCGUUGAUAAACGUUGGCUUUUGCAGACUUCUAUUCUCCAGUGCAGUCUUCGAAUCAGCCGAAAAGGUAACAAACCAUGCCAUCUUCCAUUCCGGACUACCAGCGCACGGAGAAGCGCGCAGUCGCCGUCUUUGGGUGGUCGCACACGGAGGUUGGCAUGCCGCGGUGGCAGCAGGCUGAGGAUGUCGGCCGUCUUGCCGCUCAGAACGGCUUUACUGUCAUCACGGGCGGCUACGGCGGUUCUAUGGAGGCCGUCAGCAAAGGCGCGCGCGAGGUGAGGGAUGCGGCAGCGGCAGGCUCUGCUGCCGCGUCAGCCGAGGUUGUCGGCAUCGUCGUGUCGGAGGUGUUCCCUGAUCGCCUCACGGAGGGGAACAAGUACCUGACCAAGUUGUUGGACUCGACUUCGAUGCUGCACCGCAUCGAGCAGCUCACUACCCACUCCCGCUACUUUAUCGUUCUGCCUGGGACGACAGGCACGCUGCAGGAGCUGGUGACCAUUUGGGUGCAGAAGACCAUUCACCCCAGCGACCUUCCAAUGCCGGUGAUCGUCGCGUUCCGUGACCCGUGGGAGAAGUGCUGCCAGGGCAUCAUUGAAUCUCUCCAGCUCUCUUCCCACCAGGCCAACGCGAUCCAUUUUGUCGACACUCCAGAGGAAGCCAUUGAGUGGAUCGUGAAGGAUGCCACGGGGGAGAUCGACGGCUCGCGGGCUUGAUGGAGGGCAACGAGCGUGCGGCCGUGACUUUGGUAUAGGGCCCCCAAAAGGAAAGUGGGUGCGGGUCGCGCGCAAACCCCUGCGAGCGCAGGGGGGGGGCGAAAAGUAGACACACGCGACGGCGAACAAGAGGGGACAAUAACGGUUGCCUGUGUGAGUUGUGUUGGAGAGUGCCGGCACUUCUGCUUGGCCGCACCCAAGCAGGCGCUUUUUGCCCUUCCUCACCUCACCUCCGCCCCCUUUUUUGUGGGCCAUCAGAGGGAGCACGUGACGAGGAAUAGUGUGUGGUGUGGCUGCGAGCUCCGUCGUAGUGCAACUGCGGGGGGGGGGAAUUCGAGCGACACCGCAUCCGAAACGAAGACCAAAGAUCAAGCGGAACAAGGACAGGAGGAAAAAAAAGGCGAAAAGGGGACGACCUCAACGGAUGCGCGGGUGCCGGUGGCCCCAUACCCAUAAACGAGUACAGCGCAUGUAUACAAGUACACAUGCAAACAGUCAUAGCCGUUUUGUCUUCUCAUCGAGGCGCGCUCGGCUAUGGAGAGGAGGUGAGGGGACGCACACAACGUGAUGUAUAUUGCUGGCGCUCCUGCUAGCCAUAUGCGCUCUUCAGUAUUCCUUCACAUGUUGGGAGAGCGAACGUGACCGUGCCCUCGCUACGCCUUCGGGUUCCAUUUAUCCGUUAAACAUCUUAUCGCCAGGGCCAGACGUCGUUCUCCCAUAGUUUGUGCUCACCUAUGGGGGCUUAUGCGCUCUGCAUUUCGAUUGGGUCUAUCCGUGUGUGUAUGUGUGCGUGUGUGUGCGCUGCCCGUCGUCCACUGCAUAGCGGAUCGCUGCCAGGCCCAUAAGAUUGUCGUGCGUGUAGGGUGUAUAGCGGGACACGGUGCAGUACCGGCCUAGAAUCCAAAGAGUAGCCCUUCCUCCAUAGCGGGGCUUGAAGCCGCUCAUCCUUUAGCCAGCGCUGAAGGGACGACCAAAAAUGCUGAGGGAGGCUUGCCACCGCCCAGGCCGCGUUGCGGCAAUCGCGUGGACAGCCUUUGCCAACUCGGCCUUGCAUUUGAGCCGCCGUGAUCUGCUGCCCUUCUGCCCCCGUAGACGGAGACGAACCCGCGCCCGAGCAUGAGUCGUAUGCUCCAUGUGCGGAAGAGUUUUGCCGUGUAGCGAUUGAGGUCCUUGUCGUUGCUUGUGUCGCCGGCCAUGUUCGGCGCUGCCUCCUCGAGCAGUUUGGAAACUCAACGGGCCACGCUCCCCCCUGUCGGAAAAAAAGCACGCGCGCUACAUUUGCGUGGUGCUUCGCUUUCUGCAAACUCUGUAUAGGGGAGAUUGCGUUAGGGUGGCAGGACUUCACGACUGCGCCCGCACGUGUGUGGCCUGCACAAAGGCAUAAGCAAAAAAAAGGGUGGGGGAAGGGGGAGAGACUCCCAGUCCUAUUCACCUACGCCUGUAUGACCCCCGCACACACACGCACACGCACACAAUUCUACCUCGCCUUCGGCCCUGCGACGUCGUGCUGUUUCGUGCGAGCGUGAUCAUGUCUGACCUCCUUUGCCCGAUCCUCGUUC